GGAUAGUUCCAGUCCUUGAUUCUUAUUGGUUGAGCCGCGUUCGAAGAUGUUGUAAAUUACUCUACAAACAAACACCUUUGUUUACUUCUGUGUGUUGCUGGGCAAAUGUCAUCUCCGUCACA